rnacentral:rRNA from 1 species
AUUGAACGCUGGCGGCAGGCCUAACACAUGCAAGUCGAGCGGUAGCACAGGAGAGCUUGCUCUCUGGGUGACGAGCGGCGGACGGGUGAGUAAUGUCUGGGAAACUGCCUGAUGGAGGGGGAUAACUACUGGAAACGGUAGCUAAUACCGCAUAACGUCGCAAGACCAAAGAGGGGGGCCUUCGGGCCUCUUGCCAUCAGAUGUGCCCAGAUGGGAUUAGCUAGUAGGUGGGGUAACGGCUCACCUAGGCGACGAUCCCUAGCUGGUCUGAGAGGAUGACCAGCCACACUGGAACUGAGACACGGUCCAGACUCCUACGGGAGGCAGCAGUGGGGAAUAUUGCACAAUGGGCGCAAGCCUGAUGCAGCCAUGCCGCGUGUAUGAAGAAGGCCUUCGGGUUGUAAAGUACUUUCAGCGGGGAGGAAGGUGCUGAGGUUAAUAACCUCAGCAAUUGACGUUACCCGCAGAAGAAGCACCGGCUAACUCCGUGCCAGCAGCCGCGGUAA